GCGGAUGUGGCGGAAUUGGCAGACGCGCAGGCUUCAGGUGCCUGUGGCCGUAAGGUCGUGGAGGUUCGAUUCCUCUCAUCCGCA
rnacentral:tRNA from 1 species